UACGGAGGGAGCUAGCGUUGUUCGGAAUUACUGGGCGUAAAGCGCACGUAGGCGGCUUUGUAAGUUAGAGGUGAAAGCCCGGGGCUCAACCCCGGAAUUGCCUUUAAGACUGCAUCGCUUGAAUCCGGGAGAGGUGAGUGGAAUUCCGAGUGUAGAGGUGAAAUUCGUAGAUAUUCGGAAGAACACCAGUGGCGAAGGCGGCGACCUGGUCCUUUACUGACGCUGAGGCGCGAAAGCGUGGGGAGCAAACAGG
rnacentral:rRNA from 1 species